rnacentral:rRNA from 1 species
AUCGAACGCUGGCGGCAGGCUUAACACAUGCAAGUCGAGCGAGCGGCGGACGGGUGAGUAAUGUCUGGGAAACUGCCUGAUGGAGGGGGAUAACUACUGGAAACGGUAGCUAAUACCGCAUACCAUCAGAUGUGCCCAGCUGGGAUUAGCUAGUGGGUGGGGGAAUGGCUCACCUAGGCGACGAUCCCUAGCUGGUCUGAGAGGAUGACCAGCAACACUAGAACUGAGACACGGUCCAGACGCCGACGAGAGGCAGCAGUGUGGAAUAUUGCGCAAUGGGCGCAAGCCGGAUGCAGCCAUGCCGCGUGUGUGACGAAGGCCUUCGGGUUGUAAAGCACUUUCAGCGAGGAGGCGUUACUCGCAGAAGAAGCACCGGCUAACUCCGUGCCAGCAGCCGCGGUAAUAC